rnacentral:rRNA from 1 species
AUGAAUUAUGCUUAUGGAGAUGAACUUGCUAUAGUUCCUUAUGUUAAACAUGAAAUUGUUGCUAUUGCACCCACACAUGAUAGUCCUAUUAUCUUUUUGAAUUCUCCAAACUACACUAUAUCAGAGAAGUUUGCUCUUAUUAAGGAAUAUAUUGAUGGUUUGCCUUUUACCGUUGCACAUGAUGAUUUUGAUGAAUAUAAUAUGCAUGUGCUUGCUUCUCCUACUUGCAAUUAUUAUGAGAGAGGAACUAUAUCUCCACCUCUGUAUGUCCAAUAUGAUAAAAUUGCAAGAAACUGUUUAUACUAUGCAUUGGCCUUUACUUUGUGUGCAUGA